CUCGGAUAGCCUUCCAUAAAAUCAUGAGGUUUCGACACGUGCUGAUUGUUCAUUAUUAACCCUUCGGCAGCUGCAAUAAUUAAGUUCACAUGGAAGGCGAACACGAUUAAAAAAUGGAAGUGAUCAUAAGUGUUACACGGACUCGAUCGUUAAGAGAAUUAUCAUUUGCAACAGUGCAGUCACACUGAGCAGAACAGAUGGGAGGAAUAAAAAUACAUUCAACGACGUCUCGGAUUUCAGUAAUUAUACUUGUCAGAGAGGGGUGGAUAAUGUGCAGAACUUUUUGUGUUUUACUGUAGCGUUUCCAAACCGCUAAAAAUACAUUCUAAGUGACAAAGUCGGGACGCCUUUAUCCAAGACAACUUACAGAGACUAGGGUAUGUGAACUAUGCAUCAGCUGCAGAGUCACUUACAAUUACGUCUCACCCGGAAGACGGAGCACAAGGAGGUUAAGUGACUUGCUCAGGGUCACACAAUGAGUCAGUGGCUGAGGUGGGAUUUGAACCAGGGACCUCCUGAUUACAAGCCCUUUUCUUUAACCACUGGACCACACAGCCUCCUGUUACUUAAACAGCUGUAGCAACACGUGGGGAUGUGUAACGCUAUAUUUUUCAGAACCCUGCAACUUACUCUAAGUCAUUAAUAAGGACUCAUCCACCUAAAACAGGUACCUUUAAAUCCUCUACGUUUUCCAAAUUUGUUUAUAUAUUAUAUUAGAUGUGUUCUGUAUGAUUAAUUAUUGUUGUUCCUGCUGUAAUCUAUGUGUUCUUUAUUAGAAUCGCUUUGUACCUCACUUGCUGUUUCCACCAUCACAUCCUGGGGACUUUUUAAAACUCAGUAGUUUAAAGCACCCAUAAUGCUUCAAAGGGCCUCUGAAGCAUGUCUGCUCUGCACCUUCAUGCCACUAGUGGAUGUACGAAAGACAUCAGUAAAGAAUUCCACAUUGUACAAAUUUACAUCCAGAGCAGAGUGUUGCAGGAGGACAUUUAAUGGUUUUAAGGUAGCCAGAUGUGGUAUUAUACUGAAAUCUUUUUCAUGGAUUGCGCAUUAGCUACCCAUAUGAGUUCCUGGUAUAUUAGGCCUUUGGUUCUAGAAAGCAGGAGUCAUGUGCUGUAACGGCGGACACUUAAACGGUUUCCAAGACACAGAGUAGCAUAGAAUGUUCAACUUACAAAUGCUUUGUGGUUGUCAAGCAGACCUGUUUAUAUGAAACAUAAACCUUGCUAUUGAGAAUGUUUAAUUUGGCUCCUCAAAAAUGUAAGCAGACUGUUAUAAAGACAGAUAUAUAAACAAGUGUAAACAAUGUUCCCUACUGUUCAUUAGAGAGGAUUUCCUGGAUUCAUCCAUUACGGAAGGGCUGUACUAACACGUACAGGGUAACUGCAAUCUUCUGAACCCGCUACCUAUUUUAUAUGUUAUAUUACUUUACAAGUUUUACCAAAAAUAAACAUUACAGUAAAGUUUAUAA